CUCCUCGCUCGAUCCCCUUUGUCCUUCCACGCGCCGCCACCUCUCUCUCUUCCUCUCCCCGAUCUAGAUCGAAGACGGCGGCUACCGCCGAUGGGAUCCCAUCGCAUCCAUCUCCCGCCGAUGGGAUCCCACCGCAUCGCUCUCCCGCCCUCCACCCCACCACAUCAUCUCCCACCGUCCACCCACACCGGCCGUUUCACUCUCUCUCGCACCCUAUCCAGAUCCCGAUCCGCGGCGGUGUCGCCAACAUCUCGGGGCCCUUCGAUCCCACCCAUCCCUUCUGACCCUGAGGCUGCCGGCCAAGGCCUACGGCGGCGAGGGCUGCGCCUACUACGAGUGGAGCCCCGCGGAGCUGCCCAUGCUCGGCGUCGCCUCCAUCGGAUGCCAUGGCAGACGCGGCUGGCAUCGCGCUGGACUGCGCCCGCCCAUCGCCAGCAGCACCACCCGCCCUCUCCCUCCCAUUGACCCACCUACCAGCACCUCCGGCAUGGAGCUCUGCCUCUGCCUCCACCUCCACCGCACGCACUGCCCCCUUCCGCCCCGACGCCGCCUCCAUGCCCAACGGACGUGCUGCUUCCCGCGUCCCGCCGUGGCCGCUGACUGCAGAUUGGUAAAGGACUGCUCCUGUUGCUCCAGGCCAUGCCUCUAAUCCCUUCGUUUUGGCCUGGCGCCCCUGGGGCUGCUUAUUUGCUGGAGUUCCAAUCUGCGCCGCUGGAUUAGAGGGUGGAGCCCGAGCCUCCACUGGAGCAUGGAUCAGACAUUUGUUUGAUCCCGGGCAUCUUCGAGGGCAUCAACGCGACCGUGUUUGCCUAUGGAGCGACGGACAGCGGCAAGACCUACACCAUGCAGUUUAGCCGUGCUUUGCUGCUGCUGCCUGAUCGACGAGCGCUGCUGCGACCCCUACAUCAUCUUCGUCGACUUUGAAAGUGAAGAAAUUGAUGUAACCUUGAAGACUUGUUAUUCAUUCGAAGAACAUGAAGCGUGAAGACUUUUGUUUU